rfam:Homo sapiens chromosome 3, GRCh38 reference primary assembly.
GCUGGGCAUGGUGGUGUGUGCCUUUAAUCCCAGCUACUCAGGAGGCUGAGGUGGGAGAAUCGCUUGAGCCCAGGAGAUGGAGACUGCAGUGAGCCAAGAUCGAGCCACUGCACUCCAGCCUGGGCAACAGAGCCAGACCCUGUCUCAA